GAUGCAGCGACGCCGCGUGCGGGAUGACGGCCUUCGGGUUGUAAACCGCUUUCAGCAGGGAAGAAGCUUUUUGUGACGGUACCUGCAGAAGAAGCGCCGGCUAACUACGUGCCAGCAGCCGCGGUAAUACGUAGGGCGCGAGCGUUAUCCGGAAUUAUUGGGCGUAAAGGGCUCGCAGGCGGUUUGCCACGUCUGCUGUGAAAGCCCGGGGCUUAACUCCGGGUGUGCAGUGGGUACGGGUAGACUAGAGUGCAGUAGGGGAGACUGGAAUUCCUGGUGUAGCGGUGAAAUGCGCAGAUAUCAGGAAGAACACCGAUGGCGAAGGCAGGUCUCUGGGCUGUUACUGACGCUGAGGAGCGAAAGCAUGGGGAGCGAACAGGAUUAGAUACCCUGGUAGUCCAUGCCGUAAACGUUGGGCACUAGGUGUGGGGAACAUUCCACGUUUUCCGCGCCGUAGCUAACGCAUUAAGUGCCCCGCCUGGGGAGUACGGCCGCAAGGCUAAAACUCAAAGGAAUUGACGGGGGCCCGCACAAGCGGCGGAGCAUGCGGAUUAAUUCGAUGCAACGCGAAGAACCUUACCAAGGCUUGACAUGGACCGGAUCGCUGCAGAGAUGUAGUUUCCCUUCGGGGCUGGUUCACAGGUGGUGCAUGGUUGUCGUCAGCUCGUGUCGUGAGAUGUUGGGUUAAGUCCCGCAACGAGCGCAACCCUUGUCCUAUGUUGCCAGCACGUAGUGGUGGGGACUCAUGGGAGACUGCCGGGGUCAACUCGGAGGAAGGUGGGGAUGACGUCAAAUCAUCAUGCCCCUUAUGUCUUGGGCUUCACGCAUGCUACAAUGGCCGGUACAGUGGGUUGCGAUACUGUGAGGUGGAGCUAAUCCCUAAAAGCCGGUCUCAGUUCGGAUCGAAGUCUGCAACUCGACUUCGUGAAGUUGGAGUCGCUAGUAAUCGCAGAUCAGCAAUGCUGCGGUGAAUACGUUCCCGGGCCUUGUACACACCGCCCGUCAAGUCACGAAAGUCGGUAACACCCGAAGCUCUAGGCCCAACCCCUUUGUGGGAGGGAGUGGUCGAAGGUGGGACCGGCGAUGGA
rnacentral:rRNA from 1 species